rnacentral:rRNA from 1 species
UACAGAGGUCCCAAGCGUUGUUCGGAUUCACUGGGCGUAAAGGGUGCGUAGGUGGCCAGGUAAGUUCGGUGUGAAAGCUCGGAGCUUAACUUCGAAACGUCAUUGAAUACUAUCUGGCUGGAGGGUCGGAGGGGAGACUGGAAUUCUCGGUGUAGCAGUGAAAUGCGUAGAUAUCGAGAGGAACACCAGUGGCGAAGGCGAGUCUCUGGACGACUCCCGACACUGAGGCACGAAAGCUAGGGGAGCAAACAGG